rnacentral:rRNA from 1 species
UACGUAGGAGGCGAGCGUUGUCCGGAAUUACUGGGCGUAAAGCGCGCGCAGGCGGUCUUCCAAGUCAGUGGUGAAAGCCCGGAGCUCAACUCCGGAAUUGCCAUUGAAACUGUUGGACUUGAGGAUGAGAGAGGUGAGUGGAAUUCCCAGUGUAGAGGUGAAAUUCGUAGAUAUUGGGAAGAACACCGGUGGCGAAGGCGGCU